AAAAAAAUUUAAAAUAUUUCAAUUCAGUAUAUUUUUACUAAAAAUGUGUGAAUUUAGCUUCCUUAAUUUUCAGAGAAAACGAGAUGAACCUCUCUGGAUGUGUGCCCAGAAGUACAGAGAUAACAAAAUUGGAUGUGCAGAGACAGUAUAUAAAUAUGGUAGCAGUUAAACAGAUUAAAAUCAUUCCCAUAGUAUUUGCUCUUCACAUGGAAUUUUUCUAAAGCUACAAAAUAGCAAGUUAUAAGCUGAAUGAAAGAAGUUAAUUCUUUUACAAUACUGUGCAAAAUUCCGAAGAGGCCAUUAAUUAAUUGUGCCCUAUUUGUUCGAUGUAUUAAAAAAUCACUUCAAGAUCCCUUCUCUACUUCAGUGUAGGUGGGUCGGAAGUCAAAGGCAUUGUACAAUUUCAUAGCCCCUGGAAACAGAACGUUACAUGGCAAACUAUGUCACCAGAACAACUGUGGCUGAUUAAGCAAAAGCUGAGUCUCCCUCCUAAGCGUACAGGCUAGUGUACCUGUUUGGUUUUCUUUUUAAAUUCAUGUUUUCAAAUUGUAUGAUCAUCAGUAGAACUAAUGAUCUUGCUACCAGGACAUCAAAAAAUGGAGUUAAGAGACUUUCUAAUGCGAGAAACCACCCUGAACCCGAGUUGACCGGACCGUGUUUUAAGCUGAUGACAUCUGAGACCUAACAGAUGCCCAAAGAAGCCUCUCAGAGCUUCCCUUAUCUGACCAACUGCGGCUACUUCCAGAAAAUGAAGGUGCCACGCAUUACUCCUCGGAGACAGACCAAGAGUAAACCCAUCCUAAAUCUCAGGGGGGGAAACCAGUUGCCGCUACAUAAACAAACAUUACCACCAACUUGCCUGUGUGUCCUCCUAAAACCCGCUGCCUUACCUAAAGAGACCUAUUUGCUCUUCUCAUGGAAGACUUUCCUCCCCCUUCCUCCGCUAGGUUUCUGUUCACCAGCUUAAGACGGGAGAGGAGACGUCUCCCCUCCCAGACAACAGCCAUCACGGCAUGGAAACAACACUUCAAAGACCAAAGAUCCAAGUUCAAAGUUAACUCACGCAUCAGGACCCACAAAACCGGCCUUUCCAGCGGCCUGGUUCACGUCACCAAUCGGUCAUGCGCACUCGGACCUAACGCACGUCCAUCACUUAGCCUCCACCUGGGCUUCAGCAGGAGGACGCGGCCCCAGGAAACAGGACCCGCCGGCCUUAUACGGAAAUCCCCGCCCUCCCACCCAAUCACGCCUCGUUUCCGCCUCACCCCUUCUAACACUCUAUAAACCCCUCGCUGGCUCCCAAAGCUCUGAGGACCAGUGCGCCAUGACUUAGGUGUCCUAUCUCCCCAACCCAGGAGGCGCUCCCUCCCUGAAAAAAGGACAUCAAACUCGUCACUGACUUGUUUCAGUGUCGUCACCCGGCAGCGCUGGCGACAAGAUGGCACGGAAGACGCCGCAGCAGUUUCCGGAAGGGCUCGGGGAGGCAGGCGAAAGUACCCAUCUGCCCUUUCGGUUCACCGCCUCCUGCGCAGCUUCUCCCACAGCCAGCACGGCUUAUAUCCCCUUCCGAGCUCGUGGGAGUUUGUCCUAAUCCUUCCGGGUGGAAACCGGCAGCAGGAGAGACACCGGGGGUUUCCCGUGAGACUUCAUGGGUCAGAACACGUGUUUGUGACCCACCGCCUCGACGAGGUAGUGCUUCCGGGGCUGCUGACGCGUCUCAGUACCUGUGCACAGGCAGCCAGAAACACUAAAUCUGGCUGAAUUAGGAUAAUUUCAACUCGGGGGGGGGGGGAUAAAAAGUACGCCUCCAUCGAAGAAAGCAAGAUGGCACUGGGAAGCUCGGAGGGAAAUUCACAGCAUAAACCAAGGGCAAGGGCUUCGGGGAAUAAAAUAAGAAAUUCCUACUGUUUUGACCAGUAGCACAUCAAAACCUCAAUAGGCACAAAUCAGACUCUUAAAAACCCAUAAGGCAUCUGCCAUUUGAAGAAACUCUUGUGAAAGAAGUAAUAAUAACAUUGCUAAUGAGAAUCUUAGAGAUCAAAAUGGCAAGACUGGUGGGCACAGAGGGACAACGGAGAACGGCGAGGGCAGUCACCACUAAGUCAUUGGAUAGAUAGGAAGAGUGUUAGAACGUAUUGGCUUAAUGAAAAGCUGAUAAAGGAAAUUUUCAACGUUUCAUGUUUGUGGGCCUGCUUCUGGGCUCCCAGCAAAGUUACAGUUGAGCCAUUAUCAAAGGCAAAAUGUUUGGACAAAACCUCAAAGCACGGGCUCUCUUUCUGCCCCUAUUACACAUCCCAUAUCUGGUUUAUUUUAAUAAACAAAAGCAAAAACAAAAACAUUCCAAGCAAAGAUGAGGGAAAAACAAAAACAAAACAAAACCCUCCCUCCUUCCCAUAAGAUUAAAGUCAUACAGACUUGCACAUGCUAAAAAUGUAAGAUGAAGCCUGUAACAUUCUGGAAUGUCC
rnacentral:lncRNA from 1 species